AACGCGAAGAACCUUACCUAGGCUUGACAGUUGGGGAAAUCUGGCAGAGAUGUCAGGUCCGCAAGGGCCCCAAAACAGGUGGUGCAUGGCUGCCGUCAGCCCGUGUCGUGAGAUGUUGGGUUAAGUCCCGCAACGGGCGCAACCCUCGUUCUAUGUUGCCAGCGGAUAAUGCCGGGGACUCAUAGAAGACUGCCGGGGCCAACUCGGAGGAGGGUGGGGAUGACGUCAAGUCAUCAUGCCCCUUAUGCCUAGGGCUGCACGCAUGCUACAAUGGUCGGUAUAAAGGGCUGCAAUACCGUAAGGUGGAGCGAAUCCCAAAAAGCCGGCCUCAGUUCGGAUUGGGGUCUGCAACUCGACCCCAUGAAGUCGGAGUCGCUAGUAAUCGCAGAUCAGCAAUGCUGCGGUGAAUACGUUCCCGGGCCUUGUACACACCG
rnacentral:rRNA from 1 species